UUCAUUAGAUUAAUUCACAGUUACAUGAUAGUUGGAAUCUACAUAAAUGGCUGAAAGAGAGCCAGCAUAGAGUAGUAGGUAAGAAUACAGGCCAUGAAAUCUGGAUUUAAAGUCUGUUGUACAAUUGGCUAGAUGAAUGAUCUUGAAUACAUUUCAUAACUUCUUGGAGCCUCUAUUGUCUUAUCUGCAAAAUUGGUAUGAAGAUGCUGCUCACCUUUUUAUGUUCCUUUCAUGAGCAGUUUAUAAUAGGGUUCAUGCUGUUAUGAAAAUCUAAUGCCACUGAUCAUCUUACUGCAGGCAGAGCUCAGGCAAUAAUGCUUGCUCCCCUACCACUCACCUCCUGCUGUGCAGCCUGGUUUGUAACAGGCCACAGACUGGUACCGGUCCAUGGCCUGGGGGCUGGGGACCCCUACUCUACACAAUACUGGGAUUGAUACUUUUAAAAUACAACUCAAGUCAAUGGCAGAUAACUCUAGGCCAAGAGAGGCACAUGUGCAAAAGCAGAAGGGCACUGAGCAGCAAGGUGUCCUUGGGACACUAUAAGAGUUUGGUAUUGGUAGAACUUUGUGUAAAGUUUGGGGACUGAG
rnacentral:lncRNA from 1 species